rnacentral:rRNA from 1 species
UACGUAGGGUGCAAGCGUUGUUCGGAAUCAUUGGCGUAAGCGCGUGUAGGUGGUUUAUCAAGUCAGAUGUGAAAGCCCUCGGCUCAACCGGGGAAGUGCAUUUGAAACUGAUAGGCUAGAGAACGGUAGAGGAAGGUGGAAUUCACGUGUAGCGGUGAAAUGCGUAGAGAUGUGGAGGAACACCGGUGGCGAAGGCGGGACUCUGGGCCGAUACUGACGCUGAGGAGCGAAAGCGUGGGGAGCGAAACAGG